rnacentral:rRNA from 1 species
AGUGAACGCUGGCGGUAGGCCUAACACAUGCAAGUCGAACGGCAGCACAGUAAGAGCUUGCUCUUACGGGUGGCGAGUGGCGGGCGGGUGAGGAAUACAUCGGAAUCUACUUUUUCGUGGGGGAUAACGUAGGGAAACUUACGCUAAUACCGCAUACGACCUACGGGUGAAAGCAGGGGAUCUUCGGACCUUGCGCGAUUGAAUGAGCCGAUGUCGGAUUAGCUAGUUGGCGGGGUAAAGGCCCACCAAGGCGACGAUCCGUAGCUGGUCUGAGAGGAUGAUCAGCCACACUGGAACUGAGACACGGUCCAGACUCCUACGGGAGGCAGCAGUGGGGAAUAUUGGACAAUGGGCGCAAGCCUGAUCCAGCCAUACCGCGUGGGUGAAGAAGGCCUCCGGGUUGUAAAGCCCUUUUGUUGGGAAAGAAAAGCAGCAGGUUAAUACCCCGCUGUUCUGACGGUACCCAAAGAAUAAGCACCGGCUAACUUCGU